AGUCGAACGAUCCCUUCGGGGAUAGUGGCAGACGGGUGAGUAACGCGUGGGAAUCUACCCAAUUCUACGGAAUAGCCUCGGGAAACUGGGAUUAAUACCGUAUACGCCCUUCGGGGGAAAGAUUUAUCGGAGUUGGAUGAGCCCGCGUUAGAUUAGUUUGUUGGUGGGGUAAUGGCCUACCAAGACUACGAUCUAUAGUUGGUCUGAGAGGAUGAUCAGCCACACUGGGACUGAGACACGGCCCAGACUCC
rnacentral:rRNA from 1 species